rnacentral:lncRNA from 1 species
UUUAUAUGGGUAUUGCUUCGCCAACUAACCAUGUGAGAUGUUGCUUCUACGAAAGGAAAUUUGGACUAUGACUAAGAAAAUUAUGCUUGAUUACUUAAUUUAAUGUAUUCGAUAAGUUUGAGUUUCCUUUAUACAAACUUACUAAGCAUUAGUUGUUUAUACAGUUGUUUUAAUUAUUUUGUAGAUCAUCAAAAAGCUCAAACGGUUGAAAUUAAC